rnacentral:rRNA from 1 species
CAGUAGCCGCGGUAAUACGUAGGUCCCGAGCGUUGUCCGGAUUUAUUGGGCGUAAAGCGAGCGCAGGCGGUUAGAUAAGUCUGAAGUUAAAGGCUGUGGCUUAACCAUAGUACGCUUUGGAAACUGUUUAACUUGAGUGCAAGAGGGGAGAGUGGAAUUCCAUGUGUAGCGGUGAAAUGCGUAGAUAUAUGGAGGAACACCGGCGGCGAAGGCGGCUUACUGGACGACAACUGACACUGAGAGACGAAAGCUAGGGGAGCAAAUGGGAUUAGAUACCCCCGUAGUCCCUGUCUCUUAUACC